rnacentral:rRNA from 1 species
GACGAACGCUGGCGGCGUGCUUAACACAUGCAAGUCGAACGGUGAAGCGCCUUCCUUUUUGGUGGGUGUGGAUGAGUGGCGAACGGGUGAGUAACACGUGAGUAACCUGCCCCCUUCUUCUGGAUAACCGCAUGAAAGUGUGGCUAAUACGGGGAAUUCUGGGUCUGUCGCAUGAUGGGUCUGGGAAAGACAUUGUUUCGGGGGGGGAGGGGCCCGCGGCCUAUCAGCUUGUUGGUGGGGUGAUGGCCUACCAAGGCGGUGACGGGUAGCCGGCCUGAGAGGGUGGUCGGUCACCCUGGGACUGGGCCACGGCCCAGACUCCUACGGGAGGCAGCAGUGGGGAAUAUUGCACAGUGGGCGCAAGCCUGAUGCAGCGACGCCGCGUGAGGGAUGGAGGCCUUCGGGUUGUGAACCUCUUUCGCCAGUGAAGCAGGCCUGCCUCGUUUGUGGGUGGGUUGACGGUAGCUGGAUAAGAAGCGCCGGCUAACUACGUG